rnacentral:rRNA from 1 species
GAUGAACGCUGGCGGCGUGCUUAACACAUGCAAGUCGAACGGAAAGGCCCAAGCUUGCUUGGGUACUCGAGUGGCGAACGGGUGAGUAACACGUGGGUGAUCUGCCCUGCACUUCGGGAUAAGCCUGGGAAACUGGGUCUAAUACUGGAUAGGACCACUUCUUGGAUGUUGUGGUGGAAAGUUUUUUCGGUGUGGGAUGAGCUCGCGGCCUAUCAGCUUGUUGGUGGGGUAAUGGCCUACCAAGGCGUCGACGGGUAGCCGGCCUGAGAGGGUGUACGGCCACAUUGGGACUGAGAUACGGCCCAGACUCCUACGGGAGGCAGCAGUGGGGAAUAUUGCACAAUGGGCGCAAGCCUGAUGCAGCGACGCCGCGUGGGGGAGGACGGCCUUCGGGUUGUAAACUCCUUUCGCUAGGGACGAAGCGUUUUGUGACGGUACCUGGAGAAGAAGCACCGGCUAACUACGUG